GGACGGGUGAGUAACAUUUAGGAAUCUGCCUAGUAGUGGGGGAUAGCUCGGGGAAACUCGAAUUAAUACCGCAUACGACCUACGGGUGAAAGGGGGCGCAAGCUCUUGCUAUUAGAUGAGCCUAAAUCAGAUUAGCUAGUUGUGGGGUAAAGGCCCACCAAGGCGACGAUCUGUAACUGGUCUGGAUGAUCAGUCACACCGGAACUGAGACACGGUCCGGACUCCUACGGGAGGCAGCAGUGGGGAAUAUUGGACAAUGGGGGCAACCCUGAUCCUGCCGCGUGAAGAAGGCCUUUUGGUUGUAAAGCACUUUAAGCAGGGAGGAGAGCUAAUGGUUACAUUAGAUUAGACGUUACCUGCAGAGCACCGGCUAACUCUGUGCCAGCAGCCGCGGUAAUACAGAGGGUGCGAGCGUUAAUCGGAAUUACUGAGUGUAGGUGGCUCAUUAAGUCACAUGUGAAAUCCCCGGGCUUAACCUGCAUGUGAUACUGGUGGUGCUAGAAUAUGUGAGAGGGAAGUAGAAUUCCAGGUGUAGCGGUGAAAUGCGUAGAGAUCUGGUACCGAUGGCGAAGGCAGCUUCCUGGCAUAAUAUUGACACUGAGAUUCGAAAGA
rnacentral:rRNA from 1 species